CGAAGGCUACAGCCUACCAUGCAGUCGAGCGGCAGCACGGAAGGAUCUUCGGUGUGAGUAGAGCGGCGGACGGGUGAGUAACGCGUAGGAAUUUGCCCAGUAGUGGGGGACAACAUGUGGAAACGCAUGCUAAUACCGCAUACGCCCUAUGGGGGAAAGCAGGGGAUCUUCGGACCUUGCGCUAUUGGAGAAGCCUGCGUCGGAUUAGCUAGUUGGUGGGGUAAAGGCCCACCAAGGCGACGAUCCGUAGCUGGUCUGAGAGGAUGAUCAGCCACACUGGGACUGAGACACGGCCCAGACUCCUACGGGAGGCAGCAGUGGGGAAUAUUGGACAAUGGGCGAAAGCCUGAUCCAGCCAUGCCGCGUGUGUGAAGAAGGCCUUAGGGUUGUAAAGCACUUUCAGUAGGGAGGAAAAGCUAGUCGUUAAUAACGGCUAGCCCUGACGUUACCUACAGAAGAAGCACCGGCAAACUCCGUGCCAGCAGCCGCGGUAAUACGGAGGGUGCGAGCGUUAAUCGGAAUUACUGGGCGUAAAGCGCGCGUAGGCGGCCUGAUAAGUUGGAUGUGAAAGCCCUGGGCUCAACCUAGGAACUGCAUUCAAAACUGGACAAACUAGAGUACAAGAGAGGGGGGUAGAAUUUCCGGUGUAGCGGUGAAAUGCGUAGAGAUCGGAAGGAAUAUCAGUGGCGAAGGCGGCCCCCUGGCUUGAUACUGACGCUCAGGUGCGAAAGCGUGGGUAGCGAACAGGAUUAGAUACCCUGGUAGUCCACGCCGUAAACGAUGUCGACUAGCCGUUGGGGAGCUUGACUUCUUAGUGGCGCAGUUAACGCGAUAAGUCGACCGCCUGGGGAGUACGGCCGCAAGGUUAAAACUCAAAUGAAUUGACGGGGGCCCGCACAAGCGGUGGAGCAUGUGGUUUAAUUCGAUGCAACGCGAAGAACCUUACCAGGUCUUGACAUCCUGCGAACUUUCUAGAGAUAGAUUGGUGCCAUCGGGAACUCUGGGAUAGGUGCUGCAUGGCUGUCGUCAGCUCGUGUCGUGAGAUGUUGGGUUAAGUCCCGCAACGAGCGCAACCCUUAUCCUUAGUUACCAGCGAUUCGGUCGGGAACUCUAAGGAGACUGCCGGUGACAAACCGGAGGAAGGCGGGGACGACGUCAAGUCAUCAUGGCCCUUACGGGUAGGGCUACACACGUGCUACAAUGGCCAGGACAAACGGCUGCAACCCCGCGAGGGUGAGCUAAUCCGAGAAACCUGGUCGUAGUCCGGAUCGCAGUCUGCAACUCGACUGCGUGAAGUCGGAAUCGCUAGUAAUUGUGAAUCAGAAUGUCACGGUGAAUACGUUCCCGGGCCUUGUACACACCGCCCGUCACACCAUGGGAGUGGAUUGCACCAGAAGUAGCUAGCUUAACCUUCGGGAGGGCGGUUACCACGGUGUGGUUCAU
rnacentral:rRNA from 1 species